GAUGAAGAACGUAGCGAAAUGCGAUACUUGGUGUGAAUUGCAGAAUCCCGUGAACCAUCGAGUCUUUGAACGCAAGUUGCGCCCGAAGCCAUCAGGUUGAGGGCACGUCUGCCUGGGCGUCACAUAUCGUUGCCCAAUGCCUAUUGCAGUGCAAUAGGAAUUUCUAGGGCGAAUGAUGGCUUCCCGUGAGCGUUGUUGGCUCGCGGUUGGUUGAAAAUCGAGUCCUUGGUAGGGUGUGCCAUGGUAGAUGGUGGUUGAGUUAGAACGAUACCGAUCAUGUGCAUGCUCCCCAAAAUAUGGCCUCUAUGACCCACACGCGUCUUUUGACGCUCAUGACGAGACCUCAGGUCAGGCGGGGCUACCCGCUGAAUUUAAGCAUAUCAAUAAGCGGAGGA
rnacentral:misc_RNA from 1 species